ACGUAGGGUCCGAGCGUUGUCCGGAAUUAUUGGGCGUAAAGAGCUCGUAGGCGGUAUGUCGCGUCUGCUGUGAAAGACCGGGGCUUAACUUCGGUUUUGCAGUGGAUACGGGCAUGCUGGAGGUUUGGAGGGGGGACUGGAAUUCUUGGUGUAGCAGUGAAAUGCGUAGAUAUCAAGAGGAACACCAGUGGCGAAGGCGAGUCCCUGGACAACACCUGACACUGAGGCACGAAAGCUAGGGGAGCAAACAGGA
rnacentral:rRNA from 1 species